UAGGAAUCAACUACAUUUGAAGGCAUCCUCAAGGAGUCAUACAUUCAAUGCCUCUAUGUACAUAUGAUUGUAAAGGUUGAUGUGGGUCCUUGCUGAUAAAAUUUUGUUGGAAAUCAUAUAUUUAGAGAGGAUCAAGAGAAGUUGUUGACAGAUAUGUUGCAGUACAUACUGGGUGUAUAUUUUCUCAUUCAUGUAUGCUAGUGCGUGUGAAUAGAUCAUAUAAUAAGUUGUGGAAACUGUUCCAUGUACAAUGAUAUUCAUGUGAGACAAAUAUACAUAUAUGCCUGGAAUGUUAUGCAUUUCUCUAAUUCGACCCGCUCAGCUACUGUAUUAAUCCAAGAAAAUUUCAGAGUUAACAUGAACAACAUAUUCUUGGUACAGAAAGAGGCCAGUUGUUCAUUCUAAGUCCUUGUAGAGUAAGUUUAUUUUACAACUGAAUGACCUGCAAAUGAUGUAAUUGCAAUCCUACUUCCUUCUAAUAUUACUGUAUUUACUCUUGAUUUUUCUGGAUAGGGCUUAUCUGGUGGAGAUUAUGUCAGCCCUGGUUGGCAUGAGAAAGAUGAUCUGAAUACAGUGGUUUCUUUUCUACGGAGCAACCAGCAAAUUUCAUGCAUAGGGCUUUGGGGACGAUCAAUGGGUGCCGUCAUAAGGUGGUUAUACAUCAUCCUCUAUUCAAUGAUUUCUUACACUGCUAAACUCAUGAGGCAUUCUUAAUUAGUUUUACAAUGAAGACGACCAUUCCAGCUGUAAAAAAUAUGUAUUUGUAUCAUAUUAUGAGAUGGUGAAUUAAGGAAUUCCCACAUUUGCUUAGCAUCGGUAUAAUGUAAUAGUAAGAAGUGCUCCCUUGUUGCUUCAUUACUUGAAAAAGAAAAGGAACUUCAACU